rnacentral:rRNA from 1 species
AUGAACGCUGGCGGCGUGCCUCAUACCUGCAAGUCGAGCGCACGGACGAGAAGCUUGCUUCUCUGAUGUUAGCGGCGGACGGGUGAGUAACACGUGGAUAACCUACCUAUAAGACUGGGAUAACUUCGGGAAACCGGAGCUAAUACCGGAUAAUAUUUUGAACCGCAUGGUUCAAAAGUGAAAGACGGUCUUGCUGUCACUUAUAGAUGGAUCCGCGCUGCAUUAGCUAGUUGGUAAGGUAACGGCUUACCAAGGCAACGAUGCAUAGCCGACCUGAGAGGGUGAUCGGCCACACUGGAACUGAGACACGGUCCAGACUCCUACGGGAGGCAGCAGCAGGGAAUCUUCCGCAAUGGGCGAAAGCCUGACGGAGCAACGCCGCGUGAGUGAUGAAGGUCUUCGGAUCGUAAAACUCUGUUAUUAGGGAAGAACAUAUGUGUAAGUAACUGUGCACAUCUUGACGGUACCUAAUCAGAAAGCCACGGCUAACUACGUG